UACGUAGGUGGCAAGCGUUGUCCGGAUUUACUGGGCGUAAAGAGCGCGCAGGCGGCCGAGUAAGUCGAAUGUGAAAGCCCCCGGCUCAACUGGGGAAGGUCAUUCGAUACUGUUCGGCUCGAAGAUAGGAGAGGGAAGCGGAAUUUCAGGUGUAGUGGUGAAAUGCGUAGAUAUCUGGAGGAACACCGGUGGCGAAGGCGGCAUCCUGGACCGGCAUUGACGCUGAGGCGCGAAAGCUAGGGGAGCAAACGGG
rnacentral:rRNA from 1 species